GAUUGAUUGGACGAUGACUGUCACAUGUCACGUUCUGAUUGGACGUUGACAACAACAAUACAUUUUCAUAGUCUAUAGAAUCAACGUUCAAUUAGAACGUGACACGUGGUAGUCAAUGUUC
rfam:Glycine soja cultivar W05 scaffold1064_24, whole genome shotgun sequence.